rnacentral:rRNA from 1 species
UACAGAGGUCUCGAGCGUUAGGCGGAAUCACUGGGCUUAAAGCGUGUGUAGGCGGACGCCUAAGUGUCUUGUGAAAUCCCACGGCUCACCCGUGGAACUGCUGGGCAUACUGGGCGUCUUGGGCCAACUAGGGGCAGCCGGAACAAGCGGUGGAGCGGUGAAAUGCGUUGAGAUCGGAAGGAACGCCCGUGGCGAAAGCGAGGUCCUGGACCCUUUCUGACGCUGAGACGCGAAAGCCAGGGGAGCGAACGGG